rnacentral:lncRNA from 1 species
GUUUAUGUGGCCUUGGAAUGGUAUUGGAAAGAGCAAGAGCCUGAUGCCUUUCUUUUGUCGAGCUGGUCUACUGUAUAAUUUCUCACCUCAACCUCUUCCAUCCAUGCUUUAUAUUUAUCCGUAUGGCUUCGGAAGCGGUAGAUAUCAUCAGCUCCAAAAUGCAAUUUUGUUGACGGAAAGAUGAAAGUUGCUUUCGAAGGUACAGGUUUCAGACAUUAAUUUUUUAUUAUUUCUGCUGGUUCCUGUGUUUCUCACUUGCCAACCGAUUGAUGAUGACUUAACAAGACAAGAACGUGGAGAUGUAUCUCACGUUUUAUGAAUUUGUUUCUUUUUUUCCCAAGGUGACGGGAGCCGGACCAUCUAUGAAUAGUUAGCAGAGCACUAAUGAUUCUUGGCUUGCGCUUUCUUCUGACCUCAGGUAAAUCUACAGCCUUUUUUUAUCUUACGUACGUCUUAUUUGCUAUAUGAUCUAAAGAAUGGAGUUCGUGUAGACUAUUCUACUUGGUUAGGUAAUGAGAUGAGUUUACAGUACAACUUAUAAGUUUGAUUCUCAUUGAUCAUGUUCUGUAACUUAGAGUAGAAAGAAA